AGCAAAUGCUGAUCGAAGCCCGGAGCAGAUGGACGUUCCUCCUGUGGCCACUGUAGUGAUUGGGGGAUAAGAACUUCACUAAAUUCAUAAGUGCCAAGAAAAAAAAAAAAAGAACAGGGUACUUACAGAAUCAAUACUUUGCGAAAACAUUAUGGAAGCCGGCUCAGUCUGCC